rnacentral:tRNA from 1 species
CCUGAGGCAGUUAAUUGGUUGUGUGGUGUAGUGGCAGCACUCAAGGUUCUGAUUCUUGCAACCCCGGUUCGAUCCCGGGCACGACCUU